UGCAUGGUAAAAUGGGGUUUUGGAGCGGGGCGGGGCGGGGCGGGACCCCGAAACAAAUACUGUAUUUCAGUGUAAUCAGGGUAUACCGUAUACUCAGAGCCAAAAUGUUCUUUCUCAGGCCAUCCCCAAACGAAAACCCUUAUUCUCCUGAUUCCCCAAGCGAAACGAAGACGAAGAAGAAGAGGUUGCAGAAGGCUAUUUUCGUCAAAUGCUUCGGUUUCUUCCCUGGGCGGGGAGUAAAGCUUGAGGGGUUUCUAUGAAAUCGAAGCUUGAGGGGUUUUGCGGAAGGGUGGUUUUCGUCAAAUGCAAAUGGGGUCCGCUUCUAUCAGCUCACAAGAAGCUUGUUGCAGAAAAACUCGCUGAAGAAGACGCUGAGAGGAAGGUGAAGAAGGAAGUCAGGAAGGAAAACACUUGGUAAUUCAAAUGACCUUUGUCUAUAAAAUAUGAGUAUAUGAAUAAGAUUAUUAUUAAGAGAGAGAGCUAAGUAAUUAAGAUGGGUUCGAUAUAUGGGGUUUGUGUGGUACUAUUUGUCAUAUUUAUAUGUAUAUAGCUAGAUCUUGUCCAAGUUGAGAUAUUCGAUACUUGUGGAAUCUGUAUGUAAAAUUGAUGGUAUAUGAAUAUCAAUGUUCCUAAGGUAUAUAUAUUGACAUGUGUCACAUUCAACCAUGUUCUUAAUCUAUAAUAUUCAAGAUCAAUUUCUCUUUUCUGA